rnacentral:rRNA from 1 species
GACGAACGCUGGCGGCGCGCCUAACACAUGCCAGUCGAACGAGCGAGAGGGAGCUUGCUUUCUCGAGCGAGUGGCGAACGGGUGAGUAACGCGUGAGGAACCUGCCUCAAAGAGGGGGACAACAGUUGGAAACGACUGCUAAUACCGCAUAAGCCCACGGUGCCGCAUGGCACAGAGGGAAAAGGAGCAAUCCGCUUUGAGAUGGCCUCGCGUCCGAUUAGCUAGUUGGUGAGGUAAUGGCCCACCAAGGCGACGAUCGGUAGCCGGACUGAGAGGUUGAACGGCCACAUUGGGACUGAGACACGGCCCAGACUCCUACGGGAGGCAGCAGUGGGGAAUAUUGCACAAUGGGGGAAACCCUGAUGCAGCGACGCCGCGUGGAGGAAGAAGGUCUUCGGAUUGUAAACUCCUGUUGUUGGGGAAGAUAAUGACGGUACCCAACAAGGAAGUGACGGCUAACUACGUG